GACGAACGCUGGCGGCGCGCUUAACACAUGCAAGUCGAACGGAAAGGCCUGCUUUCCCUUGUGGAUUGCGGGUACUCGAGUGGCGAACGGGUGAGUAACACGUGAGUGAUCUGCCCCCAACUUGGGUAUAAGCCUGGGAAACUGGGUCUAAUUCCCGAUAGGACUGCAGGGUGGUGCCUGUGGUGGAAAACGAUUUUCUAGUGGUUGGGGAUGAGCUCGCGGCCUAUCAGCUUGUUGGUGGGGUAAUGGCCUACCACGGCGGCGACGGGUAGCCGGCGUGGGAGGGUGGACGGCCACAUUGGGACUGAGACACGGCCCAGACGCCUACGGGAGGCAGCAGUGGGGAAUAUUGCACAAUGGGCGGAAGCCUGAUGCAGCGACGCAGCGUGGGGGAUGACGGCCUUCGGGUUGUAAACUCCUUUCGACCGCGAGGAAGCCACCUGGUUGGAAGGGUGGUGACGGUAGUGGUAGAAGAAGCACCGGCUAACUACGUG
rnacentral:rRNA from 1 species